GACGAACGCUGGCGGCGUGCUUAACACAUGCAAGUCGAACGGAAAGGCCUUCUUUCCCUUGUGUAUUGCGGGUGCUCUGGUGGCCAACGGGUGAGUAACACGUGAUUGAUCUGCCCCCAACUUGGGUCUAAGCCUGGGAAACUGUGUCUCAUCCUCGGUCGGACUGCAGGGUGGUGCCUGUGGUGGAACCUGAUUUUCUAGUGGUUGCGGAUGAGCUCGCGGCCCAUUGGCUUGUUGGUGGGGUAAUGGCCUACCAAGGCGGCGACGGGUAGCCGGCCUGUGAGCGUGCACGGUGAAAUUGAGACUGGGACACGGCCCCGACUGCUACGGGAAGCAGCAGUGGGGGAUAAUGGACAAUGAGCGGAAGCCUGAUGCAGCGACGCCGCGUGGGGGACGACGGGCUUCGGGUUGUAAACUGCUUGCGACCGAGAGGAAGCCACCUGGUUGGAAGGGUGGUGACGGUAGUGGUAGAAGAAGCACCGGCUAACUACGUG
rnacentral:rRNA from 1 species